CCAUGGGCGGGGCUUCCGGCGCGUCGCAGCGCCUUCCGGCCGAGCGCGAGGGCUCUGCCGGCUUCUGACAUGAAGCCCUCUGGACCCAGAGGUUAGACCCCGUGUGACACACUCACCAUGCAGAUGCUCCUUCACAUCCUCUGGCUUAUGCUGGCCUGUGGCUCUGUGCACACUACCCUGUCAAAGUCAGAUGCCAAAAAAGCUGCUUCAAAGACACUGUUGGAGAAGACUCAGUUUGCAGAUAAGCCUGUCCAAGAUCGGGGUCUGGUGGUGACGGACCUCAAAGCUGAGGUCGUAGUUCUUGAGCAUCGCAGCUACUGCUCGGCGAGGGCCCGGGAGCGAAACUUUGCUGGAGACGUUCUAGGUUAUGUCACUCCGUGGAACAGCCAUGGGUAUGACAUCGCCAAGGUCUUUGGGAGCAAGUUCACGCAUAUCUCACCAGUCUGGCUACAGCUGAAGAGACGCGGCCGUGAGAUGUUUGAGGUUACAGGCCUCCACGACGUGGACCAAGGAUGGAUGCGAGCUGUCAGGAAGCAUGCCAAGGGCCUACACAUAGCGCCUCGGCUUCUGUUUGAGGGCUGGACUUACGAUGACUUCCGCAACGUCCUAGACAAUGAAGAUGAAAUAGAAGAGCUCAGCAAGACUGUGGUCCAGGUGGCAAAGAACCAGCAUUUUGAUGGCUUUGUGGUGGAGGUGUGGAGCCAGCUGCUGAGCCAGAAGCAUGUGGGCCUCAUCCACAUGCUUACCCACCUGGCUGAGGCACUGCAUCAGGCCCGGCUGCUGACCAUCUUGGUCAUUCCACCUGCCGUCACCCCUGGGACCGACCAGCUGGGCAUGUUCACCCACAAGGAGUUUGAGCAGCUGGCCCCGGUGUUGGAUGGCUUCAGCCUCAUGACCUACGACUACUCCACGUCGCAGCAGCCUGGCCCUAACGCCCCGCUGUCCUGGGUUCGAGCCUGCGUCCAGGCUCUGGACCCCAAGUCCAAGUGGCGGAGCAAGAUUCUCCUGGGGCUUAACUUCUAUGGCAUGGACUACGCAGCCUCCAAGGAUGCCCGUGAGCCUGUCAUUGGGGCCAGGUACAUCCAGACGCUGAAGGACCACAGGCCCCGUAUGGUGUGGGACAGCCAGGCUGCAGAGCACUUCUUCGAGUACAAGAAGAACCGUGGCGGAAGGCACGUCGUCUUCUACCCAACCUUAAAGUCCCUGCAGGUGCGGCUGGAGCUGGCCAGAGAGCUGGGUGUCGGGGUCUCCAUCUGGGAGCUGGGCCAGGGCCUAGACUACUUCUACGACCUGCUGUAGACUGGGCAGCAGUUCCAAGGCAGCGUGGACUCUCUUAGUCACAGAGCGACCGGUUGAGUGAAAUACAGGCCUCUGCUGCUUGCUGUGUGUGAACAGGUGGCUUUGAUGGCUAGCUGUGUCCAGAUCUCCCAAGUCCAUGUUGGUUAGAUUCCCUGAGGUCCUGUAGCUCCCA